UUCCGUUUGCUGCUCAAUAGUCACUGAACUUACUAACAUACCAUCCAUCACUCGCUUUCCCCGCCGUUUGAACCCAUCUCACGUGGCUUGACGGCAGGCAACAUGGCUGUCGAUGGUGUCAAAUUCGACCACGGUGGAUGUGAUUUCACAGCCAAAAGACGACCUUCACCAUUUCCCUCAACCCAUGAAUCUCUCAUCUCUAAUUUGUACAUCCAGCCCUAGAUCGAUUUCCUUCCAAAUCUUCCCCCAAGUCGAUUCUUCCACACGAAAUUGCUAGAAGUUCUUCAUCUUCCAAUGGACACCAUCCCUGGAUGCAAGUGAUUUUCACCCAUAAACUUCGAACUACAUCCCAUUACCUUAACGUUCAAAAUGCGGAGGAGGAAACCCCAGGAGCCCAACCAACCGUGAGCGAUGAAGGUGACUUAUUAAACUAGGGUAAAUUGAUAGACGCAAGAGGGGGUAGGGGCUUAUCAAGCGAUAAUGUGCAUGAAGAACGUCAAAUGCAAUUCAUGCCUAUGCCUAUGGCUGCGGGAGAAACACAAACUGGUAUGCUUAGAUCUAGACCAGCAGCCACUUUGGUUGAUGAGUUGCAAGACAUAGCUGAGGCUGAAUCUUCAAGAUUGAGAGUGAAAGGGCACGAUAUAGCUGACUUGUGGACUGUUGGAUGGCCACUUCGAUGCGUUCUUCAUGCAAUGACAGACAUUCAUAUUCCCUUGUUGUUUAUAAGUUAGAUGUUUAGGCAAUACCAUCAUGUGUAUUUGUGGAUAUUUUAUAUUGUGUAAGUAUCUCAGACAAUGUUAACCGAAUUUUGUUCCCAUGUCAACUGGAUUUUGUCACGUCUUGCUACUCAUUUGCUGUGAAGUUUUUGUCAAUUGAAAUCAGCAAAUUUUUGUUUUG